rnacentral:precursor_RNA from 1 species
UGACCAGGAGAGAUGGGGAAGAUGAUUAUAUGAGGGACAGAUGCCAGAAGCACUGGUUAUGAUUUGCAUCUGGCAUCCGUCACACAGAUAAUUAUUUAUUCCACAUCUGCAGUGAUAA